rnacentral:rRNA from 1 species
GAUGAACGCUGGCGGCGUGCCUAAUACAUGCAAGUCGAGCGAACGGACGAGAAGCUUGCUUCUCUGAUGUUAGCGGCGGACGGGUGAGUAACACGUGGAUAACCUACCUAUAAGACUGGGAUAACUUCGGGAAACCGGAGCUAAUACCGGAUAAUAUUUUGAACCGCAUGGUUCAAAAGUGAAAGACGGUCUUGCUGUCACUUAUAGAUGGAUCCGCGCUGCAUUAGCUAGUUGGUAAGGUAACGGCUUACCAAGGCAACGAUGCAUAGCCGACCUGAGAGGGUGAUCGGCCACACUGGAACUGAGACACGGUCCAGACUCCUACGGGAGGCAGCAGUAGGGAAUCUUCCGCAAAGGGCGAAAGCCUGACGGAGCAACGCCGCGUGAGUGAUGAAGGUCUUCGGAUCGUAAAACUCUGUUAUUAGGGAAGAACAUAUGUGUAAGUAACUGUGCACAUCUUGACGGUACCUACUCAGAAAGCCACGGCUAACUACGUG